CCCUUUCGGGGGUGCUCGAGCGGCGAACGGGUGAGUAACACGUGAGCAACCUGCCCUUGGCUUUGGGAUAACCCUCGGAAACGGGGGCUAAUACCGGGUAUUCACUGUCUGCGGCAUCGUGGGUGGUGGAAAGCUUUGGCGGCUGAGGAUGGGCUCGCGGCCUAUCAGCUUGUUGGUGGGGUGAUGGCCUACCAAGGCGACGACGGGUAGCCGGCCUGAGAGGGCGACCGGCCACACUGGGACUGAGACACGGCCCAGACUCCUACGGGAGGCAGCAGUGGG
rnacentral:rRNA from 1 species